rnacentral:rRNA from 1 species
UACCAGCUCUCCGAGUGGUAGGGAUGUUUAUUGGGCUUAAAGCGUCCGUAGCCGGCUUAGCAAGUCUCCUGUUAAAUUCAGCGACCUAAUCGUUGAGCCGCGGGAGAUACUAUUAGGCUAGGAGGCGGGAGAGGUCAACGGUACUUCCGGGGUAGGGGUGAAAUCCUAUAAUCCCGGGAGGACCACCAGUGGCGAAGGCUGUUGACUAGAACGCGCUCGACGGUGAGGGACGAAAGCUGGGGGAGCGAACCGGAUUAGAUACCCGGGUAGUCCCAGCUGUAAACGAUGCGAGCUAGGUGUUGGGGUGGCUACGUGCCACUUCAGUGCCGCAGGGAAGCCAUUAAGCUCGCCGCCUGGGGAGUACGGCCGCAAGGCUGAAACUUAAAGGUAUUGGCGGGGGAGCACCACAAGGCGUGAAGCUUGCGGUUC